rnacentral:misc_RNA from 1 species
CUACAGAUCCGGCAUACAUCCUCCUCCUCCUCAUCGUCCUCGUACCUCGACCCCGCUGCCGACGACGACGAAGCUCCAUUACUCUCCUCCUUUUCAUUCAAAUAGCGCUUCCACGCUGUAGAGCUCGAGGAAGACGAGGAUGGCGACGACGGCCUUAUAAUGUCCUUGUCCUUAGAAUAUCCGUGAUUCGGUGGCGGUGGCGCCGCCGCGGAGCCGAUCUCCAUGAGGAAAGUUUAGGUUUCGGAGGAAAGAGGACGGCGAGUCAGAGACGGGAUUGACUCAAUGAGUUCAGGGCACGAAUUGGAAAUUUGGAGAAGUAGUAGAUUGAAACGCGUUGUGGGGAUUUUUGUUUUGUUUUAUUUUUUCU